UUAUGACACAAAAUAUAUUUUCACAAAAGGAGAAUAAUAUUUUAAAUUCAUCAAUAAUUUCUCUAAGAGAAGAUGAAAAGUAAAUGAUUCGCAAUUAUGUAUGUUUUGGAUUGAUGGAAAGGCGAGUAAACAAAACUUCAAAAGCUAAUCAAUUGCAAAUUUCUAGCAUGCCUUGUGCUAGUCUUUUAUUUAUAAUAUUAGUUUUGCUUUUUCAAAAAAAAAAAAAAAUUGCAAAUGUCAUUUUAGUAAGAUCUUCCUAACGGUGUUAGAAGUUAUUUCUAUGCAAUAAUUAUUGGUUCUCUAAUCCAUGAUCGGUCAUGUGCUUGUACAUAUGUUGUAUUGAGAAAAACAUUUUACUUGCUUGACCGAUAUGGUAAUAAAAAUUGUUAUUUUGAUUUAACAAAGGGUUGACUUGAAAGUUUAAAAUUUAUUUUAUAUUAGCAAUUAUUUCAUAUUCAUGCUUUCACUAUAAUAUUUAUUGCUAUUAGCAAUAAUUUUAUUUACAACAUGUAUAAUGUUGCUUAAAAAUAAAUUGGGCAGCGAUUUUUUUUUUCUAUUACCAAAAUCAUUCACGAAAUAUGUCACAAAUGUUCUUUAAAAUAUUUUUAUAAAUAAUUUUCAAGCGUUCUUAUAAUUUAUCUUUGACAAUAAUGGAUAAAUACUCUCUUAAAUUCUUAUGAAAACAAUUUUUGGUUUUUACAUUAUUCAUAACAAAAGUCUAAAUUUUUCAAAUGUUGCAUACAAAUUUCAACAACAAAAAAACUAGGCAAAAACCUAAAACACGAAUGAAAAACGAAGUUACGAAUGAGGAAACAAAAUUGUGUUGCUGAGACUCUACUAGUGAGCCUUCAGUCGUAUUGUCGUCUUGUUGCGAGUGUGUCGCUGGUUGUUUUGUUGUGUUAUGAGUGUGUCGUCGAUCGUCGUGUUGCUAUGUUGCUGCGACUUUGCUGGUUGUGUUGAAUGUCAUCUUUGUUUCUUCUUUUUUGGUAAAUGCUGAUGAAAAGCUCAACAAAAUCGAGAUCGAGAGUUAGAAGUAUAUGAGUUUAUAACUAAUAUCUUUCAUUUCAUGUCUAUUUAUUCAUCCAUUGCCUUCUUUUCCUUUUUUGAUGUCAUAAAUUUUUCAAUAUGUGUUGCGUUUUCAAUCUUAACACCUGUUUCAUUUCAUAUGCAAUUUGUGAAUCCACAAUAAAAACGCUACAAGAAAAAUCUUAUUUAGUCAGGGUUUUUUCCAGGGGAUAAACUCUUCACUAAGUUUAUUAAUUUUCCAGGAGAUUAACCCCUCGCAACGCACAAAAUAAAAAUAAUAAUAAUUUAAUAGUACUUUGGCAUGGGGACUCCCCUCACAAAUGCAUUAAGAGGAAUUUCAAAAUUCAAAAUUCUGCAUUGCGAAGGGCUAAGAAAAAGCGCGUCAUAAUACUUGACAAUUUUCCAGGGGCUAACCCCCUCACAAAACUACAUGAUAAUUUUCCAGGGGCUUCCCCUAGCUGAAAAGAGAAUCUCUGCACGGAAUCCCAUCACCGUACAGUGUGCUAGCCCGUGCAUUUAUUACUUGACAAUUUGCCAGGGGCUAACCCCCUCACAAAACUCACCAUAAAUUCUUCAAUUACUCUUUUGCUUCCCCAUUCUAUAACUCUCUCCAUUUUUCUUCUUCCAUCCUAUUCUCUAACUCUCUUCUUCUUCUCCACUUCUUCAUCAAGUCCACUUCUUCUCAAAUUAUUAUCUUCAAUUUUUAAGGAGUUAGCUUUUGCAAGGAAAUUCAAAAUAAGCUUGGAGUUGUUGAUUUGUUUUCUUAAGGUAUUCAAGUAUGAAGAUUUAGUUGUCGUUAAUCGAGUUGGUUGUUGCUCUGAUAUGUAGCACUCGGGGGACGAUUUAUGAUGUUUAUGAUGUUGUUUAUUGUUUUAUCUUAGCUGAACAAGAUGUUAUUAGUUUAAAGAUUGAGAACUAUGAUUCCGCCAUGUUCUAAUAAAAGAAGUUAUUUUGUUUGGAAAAAGUAUUAUAUGCUGAGUAAUUGUUUAAUCGAUCAAAGAAUGUGCUAUGUAUCCGCUAAAUGCGAUUAAGUGAUCUAUAGUGAAAUGAAUAUG